rnacentral:rRNA from 1 species
UACAGAGGGGGCAAGCGUUGUUCGGAAUUACUGGGCGUAAAGCGUGCGUAGACGGUUACAUAAGUCGGGUGUGAAAGCCCCGGGCUUAACCUGGGAAUGGCGAUGGAGACUGCGAGGCUAGAGUUUGGCAGAGGGGGGUAGAAUUCCACGUGUAGCAGUGAAAUGCGUAGAGAUGUGGAGGAACACCGAUGGCGAAGGCAGCCCCCUGGGUCAAAACUGACGCUCAUGCACGAAAGCGUGGGGAGCAAACAGG